CACUCCUACGGGAGGCAGCAGUGGGGAAUUUUGGACAAUGGGCGAAAGCCUGAUCCAGCAAUGCCGCGUGAGUGAAGAAGGCCUUCGGGUUGUAAAGCUCUUUUGUCAGGGAAGAAACGGUGAAAGCUAAUAUCUUUUGCUAAUGACGGUACCUGAAGAAUAAGCACCGGCUAACUACGUGCCAGCAGCCGCGGUAAUACGUAGGGUGCAAGCGUUAAUCGGAAUUACUGGGCGUAAAGCGUGCGCAGGCGGUUUUGUAAGUCUGAUGUGAAAUCCCGGGGCUCAACCUGGGAAUUGCAUUGGAGACUGCAAGGCUAGAAUCUGGCAGAGGGGGGUAGAAUUCCACGUGUAGCAGUGAAAUGCGUAGAUAUGUGGAGGAACACCGAUGGCGAAGGCAGCCCCCUGGGUCAAGAUUGACGCUCAUGCACGAAAGCGUGGGGAGCAAACAGGAUUAGAUACCCCAGUAGUCCCAUGA
rnacentral:rRNA from 1 species